rnacentral:rRNA from 1 species
GACGAACGCUGGCGGCGUGCUUAAUACAUGCAAGUAGAACGCACAGGAUGCACCGUAGUUUACUACACCGUAUUCUGUGAGUUGCGAACGGGUGAGUAACGCGUAGGUAACCUGCCUGGUAGCGGGGGAUAACUAUUGGAAACGAUAGCUAAUACCGCAUAAGAACAUUUACUGCAUGGUAGAUGUUUAAAAGGUGCAAGAGCAUCACUACCAAAUGGACCUGCGUUGUAUUAGCUAGUUGGUGAGGUAACGGCUCACCAAGGCAACGAUACAUAGCCGACCUGAGAGGGUGAUCGGCCACACUGGGACUGAGACACGGCCCAGACUCCUACGGGAGGCAGCAGUAGGGAAUCUUUCGGCAAUGGGGGGAAACCCCUGACCGAGCAAACGCCGCGUGAGUGAAGAAGGUUUUUCGGAUUCGUAAAAGCUUCU